UCGGGGUAACAAACUAAAACUGAGGGAAACGCAUUAAAUAUAAGAGGAGAACAACGACACAACACUACAAUGUAACACACACAGAAACGGACCAAGCAUCAGAAAAAAUCCCACGAGAAUAACAAAUAUAUCAUCAAAACCAAAUACAUGAAUUAGGGAUAGACAAGUACCAUGACACGUCUUUUCGCAAUGUGAAUUUACACUCAAAAAUAAAAGAAAACAAACAACGC
rnacentral:lncRNA from 1 species